AAAGCCCCCGGCUCAACCGGGGAGGGUCAUUGGAAACUGUUUUACUUGAGUACAGAAGAGGAGAGUGGAAUUCCAUGUGUAGCGGUGAAAUGCGCAGAGAUAUGGAGGAACACCAGUGGCGAAGGCGACUUUCUGGUCUGUAACUGACGCUGAGGCUCGAAAGCAUGGGGAGCAAACAGGAUUAGAUACCCUGGUAGUCCAUGCCGUAAACGAUGAGUGCUAAGUGUUGGAGGGUUUCCGCCCUUCAGUGCUGCAGCUAACGCAUUAAGCACUCCGCCUGGGGAGUACGACCGCAAGGUUGAAACUCAAAGGAAUUGACGGGGGCCCGCACAAGCGGUGGAGCAUGUGGUUUAAUUCGAAGCAACGCGAAGAACCUUACCAGGUCUUGACAUCCUUUGACCACUCUAGAGAUAGAGCUUUCCCUUCGGGGACAAAGUGACAGGUGGUGCAUGGUUGUCGUCAGCUCGUGUCGUGAGAUGUUGGGUUAAGUCCCGCAACGAGCGCAACCCUUAUUAUUAGUUGCCAGCAUUCAGUUGGGCACUCUAGACUGACUGCCGGUGACAAACCGGAGGAAGGUGGGGACGACGUCAAAUCAUCAUGCCCCUUAUGAUUUGGGCUACACACGUGCUACAAUGGACAGGUUACAAAGGGCAGCAACGCCGCGAGGCCAAGCGAAUCCCAUAAAACUGUUCUCAGUUCGGAUUGGAGUCUGCAACUCGACUCCAUGAAGCUGGAAUCGCUAGUAAUCGUAGAUCAGCAUGCUACGGUGAAUACGUUCCCGGGUCUUGUACACACCGCCCGUCACACCACGGAAGUCGAUAACACCUGAAGCCGGUGGGCCAACCAUUUAUGGAGGCAGCCGUCGAAGGUGGGAUGGAUGACUGGGGUG
rnacentral:rRNA from 1 species